rnacentral:rRNA from 1 species
UCGCACCUACCGAUUGAAUGGUCCGGUGAAGCCUCGGGAAGGUGACUAGCUCCUUCAUUGGGGUUAAUUACCUAAACUUGUCUAAACCUUAUCAUUUAGAGGAAGGUG